UCUGCUCUGCUCUCUGCUCAAGCCCGCAGCUCGUCGCCGCCGUCCAGCAAGCCGCCCCAGCCAUGGUUUCGUGUAGUGAUUCCGGAUCCAGCUCCUGCUUGUCAGGUGGCGACUUGGUCACCAGUCCGGUGAGAUCCCCAGGCCCUCCCGCAAAGCGGCGUCAGCUGGAGGGGACGGGGUCAUGAAUCGAUCCAAUGCAAGCGUCCUCGGAGUCCAGCCUCGGAGCAAGAGCUGAUCCGGGCGGUCCUGGCCAAGAUGGGCCGCCUGGCUCCGUCUACUGUGGUGGCUGGUGCUGAGAGAGUUCCCUCUUUGAUCUCCUAGAGUUUGGGCAUUGUUGUUUGAUGGAAGGCUUUACCCUGUUCAUCGUCUGUUUUGCCAGCGCCCCGUCUUUGCUCAGCUGUGGAUGGUUGAGCAUCUUGGAACCUGAAGAGUAGCGACCUGAAGAAGGGUCAAACUUGCCCUUGCCUAUGGCAGUUUACUAUGUUGCUGUUUUCUGUCUAGUGUUGGAUGCGUUAUGAGUAUGUUGUUGGUUACCAUGGUUCUCUAUCUACUAUCUGAACUCAGAAAUGAUUUGGCUUCAUUUGGGGGAUAGGAUUAAUCUAUGUCAGUACCUGAGAUGUUUCUUGAUAAACUAUUUCUUUAAGGAAUGUUUCAUGAAAAACUUGUUGAUGGGAAUAUGAUUUCUUUCCUUGCGUGUUUGCAUUGCGAGCCCAGGUGGUGAUAGGUGAAUCCUUGGUUUUUG
rnacentral:lncRNA from 1 species